rnacentral:rRNA from 1 species
GACGAACGCUGGCGGCGUGCCUAAUACAUGCAAGUAGAACGCUGAAGGAGGAGCUUGCUUCUCUGGAUGAGUUGCGAACGGGUGAGUAACGCGUAGGUAACCUGCCUGGUAGCGGGGGAUAACUAUUGGAAACGAUAGCUAAUACCGCAUAAUAGCAGUUGUUGCAUGACAACUGUUUGAAAGGUGCAAUUGCACCACUACCAGAUGGACCUGCGUUGUAUUAGCUAGUUGGUGGGGUAACGGCUCACCAAGGCGACGAUACAUAGCCGACCUGAGAGGGGGAUCGGCCACACUGGGACUGAGACACGGCCCAGACUCCUACGGGAGGCAGCAGUAGGGAAUCUUCGGCAAUGGACGGAAGUCUGACCGAGCAACGCCGCGGGAGUGAAGAAGGUUUUCGGAUCGUAAAGCUCGGUUGUAAGAGAAGAACGAGUGUGAGAGUGGAAAGUUCACACUGUGACGGUAUCUUACCAGAAAGGGACGGCUAACUACGUG